rnacentral:rRNA from 1 species
UACAGAGGGUGCGAGCGUUAAUCGGAAUUACUGGGCGUAAAGCGUGCGUAGACGGUCAAGUAAGUCGGGUGUGAAAGCCCCGGGCUCAACCUGGGAAUUGCAUUCGAGACUGCGUGGCUAGGGUGCGGAAGAGGGAAGCGGAAUUUCCGGUGUAGCGGUGAAAUGCGUAGAUAUCGGAAGGAACACCGGUGGCGAAAGCGCCUGAUCUGGCCCAAUAUGACGCUGAUGCGC